rnacentral:lncRNA from 1 species
GGCAAAUAUUAUGGAUGGCACUUCAUUUCAUAAUAGAACCUGUAUGCACAGCAAUUAGCAGCCGGAAAAUGAGCAGGACAGAGCCAACGUUAGGCAUGCGUAAUGUUUUCAUUAUAGGAGUUACAAAUCACCUAUUAAUCUCCCUCUAAACACCCAGCAACACGCACGCAUUCCUCACCUCAAAGUUGGUUCUGUGCAACUGCUCUAGGUAAACAGAACGAGAUGCCAGGAGGCAGCCUGUCGGUGUUUGAUUUAUGGCGUGAACUGAGCGCCUUUGUGUGUUAAAGACUUGAUUAACCCCCAGGAGCAAAGUGUCACAAUAUCAAACAGCUCCACUGGAGGCUGGCCCUGCAAGGCCCGGCCCACAUGGCCUGCCCAGGACAGUCUGUGUGUCCAGGGUGGUCUGCGUGUCCAGGAUGGUCUGCGUGUCCAGGACAUCUGUGUGUCCAGGGUGGUCUGCAUGUCCAGGACAUCUGUGUGUCCUGGGAGGUCUGCGUGUCCAGGGAAGUCUGUGUGUCCAGGGUGGUCUGCGUGUCCAGGGAAGUCUGUGUGUCCAGGGUGAUCUGUGUGUCCAGGGUGGUCGUAUGUCCAGGAUGGUCUCUGUGUCCAGGGAAGUCUGCAUGUCCUAGGACAGUCUGUGUGUCCAGGAUGUGUGUCCUGGGAAGUUUGCAUGUCCAGGACCCCCAGGGAGCAUUUGCACUUGAUCCAGCUGUGGGGGUUCUUAUGGAUGCCGUCUACAGAAGGGUCACUCUGAAUCCAAAACUCUGAGCAGCAAUGUGUCCUAAGACACUCCUGUCUGCAGCCAGACGGCAUCCUCUCCAGCCUCGCUUCUCGGAGCCGCAUGCUGACCCCGGGCUGUGGGGCACACCUGCCGUAGAUGAGGACAGCCCACUCGACACACACAGGGUCUGCUUGCUUCAGCGCAUGAUCGAGGACCCAUGCGUGUUCACGCAGAGCUCACACACAGAGCUCAGCUGGUGGGGGCAGGAGCUUGUCCCCUCCGCGUCUAGACAACCGCCAAGCCCUGACCAAAACCCUGGCCAGAUGCCUCACGAAACUCGGAAGAUGCACCUACCCUCCUCCAGCACCCAGGGGCUCGGGAAGGAUCCCAUAAGCAAACCCAUCAACAUUCCCGCAGGGAGACAGUUUCGUUACACACGCGUGAUAAAUAGACUCAAAACACCCAUGUUUGUGUCGGGGCGCCACUUCCAACAGGACCAACGGCGGUUGUGUCUCCAAAGGCGUUGGCUUCAGUUCUGGAGGCCAGUACCUGGGCCAAGCCCAGGUGACAGGGGUUGUCAGGCCGCACCUGUGACAGCAGGGGCUGCCGCGUGGAGUCUGCCUGUUGAACUCCCGUAACAGCCCAACCUGCCGGAUGAUGGAAGUUAAAUCCCGUCCAUAGGCCGCCCCUCUUUGUCUCCCGAGGCCUGGGGUCUAACAAACUCUGACAUUUGGGGAAGGGUCUUCCGGUGCUCAGUCUGCAGCAGCCACUGCUGAUGCCCCACCAUCUACUUCCCAGCUUAGGCCCUGGUCGCUGCCAAGGCCAGACCCCAAGGGGCGUAGGCACCAAUGUCCUGCAAGGUUCUGACCCUCCAGGGCAUUCUGAGCAAACAGAGGUGGUCGCGGCAGCGUGAGAACCACAGGGCCCCUCCCCAGCUCAGGGAACCUCCCCAGCUGCCCGUCGUCCAGCUGACUCCCACACCAACACCCUCACCCCUCCUGAGCACAUAAGCUGAGGACCACACAUGUCUGGCUUCCUCUGACGUCAGGACCAGCCGCUCUGGUUGGGGGGCCUAGAAGAGACCCCUGCGGCCCUGGAUCAGGAGGCCAGAGGCCCCGGCUCUUGGGGACUUUGGGACUGCACUAAAGGGCUCUUCUACCCUCUCAGCCGUCAGGCCAACGGAGACCAGAGGCUCCGUGCGGCCGUGUGACUCUGGACUGGGGCUCACCUUCCACCUCGUCCUCCCCGAGACCCGCACCGUCUCCACAUGUGCACCCGGCCGGCUCUCGGGAACCCCGCUCAACACAGCCACCGCCUGGGCCCUGCCCGUCCGGGGGCCUCGCUGGGCUCCCUCCACCACGCCUGAGGCUGCUUUUCUGCUUUCUGAUCCUGUCCUUCUCAGCUGCCCACAGCCCUCUCCCCGUCGUUCCUCGUCCCCCGUUCUCCUCCCCCCUCAUCCCUCGUAGCUGAGUCCACCUCCGUGCAGAAACAUGUCACUUAGUGAGAAAGCAUUGGCUCCAAAACAGUGUGUGCCAACAAACACUGGGGACAACGCAGACAGCCCAGGGGAGCCCGGAGCCCACAUCAGGCCCGCUCAGCCACUCCAGCCGGGCCUUCAGGCAGGCCUCCUGACCACUCUGCAUCCAGACCCGCGGGGGGCUGCCCUCUGACCAGCCAUGGCGGCCGGCGCAGGUUGGUGGGUGGUGGCCAAAGACACAGACUCCCGGGCAGAGGUGAAGGACUCCAUUCCCACGGCCUUCGCGGUUUUGAGCAUCAGAGCCAGUUCCAGCAGAGUGAGAGGAGGGUGCCGGAGCACCUGCACGGACCUCCUGGGUGCAGGACGGGGACGAGCGGCCUGCCCUCUGUGGGUGAGGCUCGGUCCCUGCCCUCUGCUGUCCACGACACGAACUCCGAGAAGACCCUCUGGUUGACGCCAUUGGUGGCUCAGCUAUGAGCCCUGGUCCCGACACUCGAGCUCAGUGUUCCUGUCAUGAAAUGGGCUUGCCGAGCACUCAGUCCUGGGCUUCCGUGAGCUCUGCAGAUCUUGCCCAGAGCGCAGAGUGCCAGCACUGACCGGAGGACGUGCCCACAGAGGAGCCCCAAGGUGAAGGGUCAGACCCAGGGCGCAGGGGCAGUUUCCCAUCCUCCAGUUGUGGGAAGAUGCCACAGAUGCCGCACACCACGCCCGGUCCUGGGCCUUGCUCCCUCAGUGCAAGUCUACUGCCCCAGACACAGGCCCGUGGCCCCACAGGACAGGAGACAUGCGGGAGGGAGAGAAGCCUAGUUCCGUGAUGGGGUCGCCGAGUGCACACCUCGGGGAGGUGGGGACCCCAUUGCCCUCCACUUCCCAGAGCCUGGGUGUCCCCAGAAGCCCUGUUGGGGGCCACAGGCCGAGAUGCCCCAGGUGAGAGGACCAGCACCUCCCGCCCAGGACUGGCCUCUGCCUGGGGGCCAGCCCCAGAGACAUGCGCUCACUCAGGGCCGUUCCCCAGAACCCCACAGCAGGAGCUCCCCCUCCCCGAGCUCCAGGCUCGUCCAGAGCGGAGGUGGGGGCCCGCUCACUCCCAGUGUCCCCGGCUUCGCAGAAGCACCCCAAAUGCCAGCAAGGCUGCGCUUCGACAGGAGCGUCCCACAGUCAGAAACAAGCUGCAGGGUCGGCCGCUCUGAGGAUGGGCAGGAGCCCCCAAGCCAUGUGCCUCCCAGAUGGAAGGUUCUGCUCGAGCCUCAGCCCCUAUGGUGGCACUGAGAGGAGCCCCCAGCCCCGGCCAGGGGCACUCAGAGCCCCUCAGCCCCAGGAGUCUUGGGACUCAAGCCUCCUCUCCUGGUCACCGUGUGGCGUGUGUGGCCCCUCAGGGCUCAUCCUGGAGGAAGGACGCCCGCCAAGUGGCGCCUGGUGGACAUUCUCUGAGGACCUCGGGGGCACAAGAAGUUCGUGCGGGGUCAACGGACGUCCACUUCAUGUCCAGGAGCAGCUGUGGGCGGAGAGCGGGGGCGUAAUCUAAUCUUCCCCUUCUCGCCACAACGAUCGCACGCUAAGGGCUGCUCUCUCUUAAUUAAGCUCAGCUCCCAAAUCCUUCUAACCACGCAACUUCACAAGAAACAUGUAUCUUUCCAAAUUAGCUUUGUGGCUCAGAAUAACAAGCAGCACAGUUAUAUUAAUUAGUGUACAGGAGCUCUAAGAACUCGUUUGCAGGUUGUUUUAUUUGCUCCAAAGGGAGCCGACAUUUAUUGAGGUGGAGGAUGUUCCAGCCCCACUGGGCACGUUAGGACAUCGCCCGUCAGCUCUCACUGAACUCUGCCGCGGGGGAGGCGGGACGGAGGUUGGGAGAGGGGCAGUGAGGGGACCCCCUGCAUCUGCUGCAAAGCCCACUCCACAUUCCGGAAUCACGUGAGGUUCCCUCCCCCCGCAGCUCCCAUGGUUCCUUAAAGUAACGAAUCUGUCUACACUGCAUGCUUCUUACUGAAAAAGCCAAGAGAAAAUCUUUCUCAAAGAGUGAGAUUUUCAAAUAAGGGGAAUCAGAGUCUUUGUAAAAAUCAAGCCUGUGAGACUCAUCCGGGACUUUCAAAGGGAGCUUGGCGGGGACCAGGGCUCCUGGGACAGCCGCAGGUGUACUUCCCACCCCGGCAACUCCACGUUGCACUGUGGGUGACGGAGCCGAGGCUGCCCCAGCUGAGGACCCCACAGAGGUGGCUCCUGCGGGGUUGGUUCAGAAGCUUCCUCCUGCUGCCUGCGAGUAGAGAAACUUACCCCAACCGCACUCUGGGUGUUUUCAGCUCAAAACGUACACACUAGAGUCGAAGCAGGGAAAUGUCUCUGAGGAAGAGACGCGACCCCAACACAUCAGAGGCCCACUGCCCGUCCCGCUGGUGAUCGUGGUCACCGACGACAAUCGUCUCUGCUCCAGAGAAAACUGAGCGCACUUCAAAACCCAUCAUCAGAGGACACACGGCCAGAUCCGCUUCCCCAGACCGCAGCGUUGCCAGGGUCUUCUGCGGUGCCGAAGGGGAGGGAACCAGGGGAGCCCUCGGGGGCAGUCCCGGGUCAUGGGGCUAGGUCAUGGGGGCUCCAAGGAACCACAUCUGUGAUGCCAUCAGUGCCGACCAGCAAGGGCGGCAGAAAGAAGGACUGAGGACGUGAGCAACGAGGCAGUGACUAUUCUCAUUUGGACACUGCGGGCUCCAGGGCACCAGCACCCACAGGCCUGAGGUCUGGCAUCUGCAGCCCCAGUGCAGCAGGAGUGACCCCUCUGCUGGCAGCAGACAGCCGACUCCCAGGGGGAGGUGGUGUCCCCGCGGCCCCAAGGCUGCGCCAGCAGAGUGUGCGUCCUAAACAUGGGACGCAGCCACAGGGAGCCCAGAGCCUGAGGGGAGGAAGGUGCUUGGAGAUCAGCCAGGGGACGGGGCUGGGGGCAGAUGGGUCCCAGAGAGGCCAGCAUGGGAGGGACAGCAGACAAGGAGCAGCACCCAGACCUGCGGCCCCGACAACCUUGGGGGAUACAGAGGACACACUUACAGAUGCUCUGAGAGAGGGGCAGCUGCCGUGUGGACGGUUAGUGCAGGAGACCCCGUUAAAUAUGACCCGAAGGAAAAUUUAAACGGCCUUUGGAAUAAACGACUUAUGGUGCUUCGUGUGGUUUUGGAAAUGCCAGUCGUGUCCCGAAAAGGGGGAGCUGAGCAAACAGCAGAAUCCAGGUGUCUCCCAGUGACCUGGGAUAGUGGAGUUUCUGCCCGAUGAUCUGGGAUAUCUGGGUGUCUCCUCAGUGACCUGAGACAUUGGGGUGUCUCCCUGGUGGCCUGGGGUGACAGGGUUCCCCACUCUCAUGACUGGACACUCUGUGGAGACCUCUCAGGUGCGGCUUCUACUCCAACGACGGACAGUUCUGAAGGCCCCUCAUCUUACCAGGCGAGGCCUUGCACCUGAGGCAGAAAUGCCCGCCCUGUUUACCUUCAGGGUGCUGACACACCCUGGCAGAGACGGUCCCGCUCCCUUAGGGACCGUGGUGGUCUGGGGCCAGGCUUCUGUCUCAGGGAGCCGGGCUGGUGGCCCACGGCUGGCCAGGGGCCCUCUGACGGGUCAGAGCGGUUCUGCUGGUCGAUUGUCUGGCAUCUGCUCCUCGCUGCUCUCUAACGUGACCAGAGUAGAGUUCACGGCAAGACCUUCCCCCAACAGCACCGACCUUGUGCUACCUGGCCUGGAGCCUGGCCGUCCGCAAGCCUGCUGAGCCCAGGGCUCAGGGUCCAAGAGCAGCGGGCGGUCCUGCUGGAGCCAAGCCUGGCUCGCCCUCUCCUCCCCGGGUCCCAAUCUGUGUUAGGCUGGCUGACCAUCAUCUGCCAACCGGCCCUCUGACCCGGCCCCUCCCUGGUUCACCUGUGGAACGCGGGCUGGCCACCCCUCAGCUCGGGGUCUCGGGCCAGCAGGGUGCAGGGUGGCCCUGGCAUAUCCACCCCCCGCUUGGCCGGGCAGGGCUCCCGGAGGCAGCCUCCUUUCUCUCCUUGUCUUCCAGGCUGCAGCGUCCAGGGGCAUCUGUUUUCUCUGCAGCGUUUGCACCCGACGUGUUUUGGUUUCCUCACACUCGUCCGUGAGGGUGCAACACCCCGCCCAAGAAUGGCCUUUGGCCCUGAGGAAGGCGGCGCCAGGCUCCCACAUGAGAGGCAGCCAGUCCGACCAUCCAGGCUGUGCCGAGAGCUCUGCAGAAAGACGGACGGACCUGAAACACAGGAUGCAGCAGGGACUGCUCAGGGGAAGAGGCCGGCCAGACCUCGGCUCCGUGCCGAGGGCUCUGCGAGUGUCGGGCCAACGCCCACCCCAUGUGGAGAGCAGAGCCACACUGAGGUCCGGCAGGAGCUUGCGCUGGAGGCCGGCGUCUGUGCGCUGGAAGAAUCGCGGCCAUCAUAGGCCAGAGGACGGUCGGGUCUUCUCCUCUCCCUGGCGCAGCGAUGGCUCUGCAGAGGGGACGCACACAGUUGCUUCUACCGCACAUUAGAGCAAACCUGGAACCUGGUGCCACUCCACGGGGGCCGGCCGCUGGAGGGCACCUGGAGGCUGGCAGCUGCCUGGCAAGAAGCAACACCUCUUCCAGCUUGAGUGGCAGGCGUUCAUCUCUUCCUCCAGACCAGGGCAGGCGUGCCCUCCACGGGGCCCUGGGGCUUCUCUCGCCUCCACUAUGGAGUCCACGGGCCCAUGGACAUCAGCAGGAGCAAGUUAAUGUGGGCUCAGCCCAUCCUGCCCACAGGGGCACACACAAGCACCUGGGGGCAUAUGCAGGCACACUCAUGCACGUGUGGACACACGGGCACAUUUAGGCACACGGGGGCACAUGUAGGCACACAGGGGCACAUUUAGGCACACGCGGGCACACUCAUGCACACAGGGGCAUACGUGGACUCACAGGGGUGCAUGUAGGCACACGUGGGCACAAGGGCACAUGCAAGUCUGCUGCUGAACACUGCCACCCGUUGCAACCACGACUUCGACUCUGACGUUGGGGACGUGCCAGGUUUGGGUGAAACGCUCGCCUGAGGCUGUUUGUGGGCCGCUACAAAGAACAUCUGGCACCAGGAACAGCAGCUGCUUAAGGCUAAAAAUAGAUCCUCGAGGUGAAUCUUCAAAACCAGGGAAUGGCCUCCACGCUGUCACCGUUGCGUGGGUCAGAGUGUGCCUCCUUGAUUGCGGGUGACCUUUUCGGAUGUCCCCUUCCUCAUGUGUCUCCGUGUGGGGUUCUCUGUACCUGAUCCCAAAGCAGGCGAGUGGGCUGCUUGUGUCCAGUACAGGAACCAAUUCCGUCAUCUAGGACGCGGGCGAAGCAAGAAGAGACGAGAGGGAGGGAGUGAGCCAGUGGUCAGCCCGGUGUCUUUCUCCAUUUGCUUUUUUUUUAAAGAUUGGGAGGAGAAAAAAAAGAGAGAGAGAGAGAGCAGGUAUGACAACAAAACAGUUGUGCUGCGUGAGAACACGCCCUUCCCGUGGCUUCUGUUCUGCCUGCUUCACCGAGCAAAAGCAACGAUUGCAGGCCUUGCCCACUGAGGCCAUCCUGUGACAAACCUCAGACUGCUUGGAAGGGGCAGACCCUCCUCUGGGUCCCACGCUCCUGGCACAGAGCAGACGACGGUAAAGGAGCGGAUUGCCACCAACCACAGUCAGUGGGUCGAUUGACUAUUUCACAGUGAGGCAUACACAUCCAUAUCGAGUGUAUAAAUAAUAUUUAUUGACAGAACUUCAAGUUUAUAGUGGAACCUGCCAACCACAGAAAAUAAAGACCAGCAAUAGAAUUGAAUACCAAAUUCCACACUUCCUGCCACAGGCCCUGCAUCCCAGUCACUCCUCUACUCUAAAGGAAUGCCACCAGGUCUGUUCCUAGCAGGGCCACCAGCUCUAGCUGCUGUUUGCAAAGUGAGGACUUGCACCCGCCAUGCUCUCUCAGCCCUGCUGGCUCUGACACGCCAGGACCUCGGUCCUGAGAUGUAACCGUGUAGAGGUUCACGAGAACUUUGUUCAUGGAAACUCAACAUCAGAAAGCAGACGGAGACGUAAUAGGAAAGGGCAGUUAAAGUCCCCCAGCUCGAACUGAGAGUUUGGGUUCGUCUCUCGGGAGAAGCCGCGUCUCUAAGUGCCUGGAAGACCACGUGGGAGUGGCAGGCGGUUCGUGAGCAGAAUGCGGGGCUCUUGCAACGGGAAGAGAUGUGAGAGGUCCAGUGUAACUCCUCACAUCCAUAAACAAGGAGAGGAGGUCCAGCAAUGCAAAGCAGCUCACCCCAAUUGCCACCAGCGACAGCUGUCAGAACCAAGACCAGGACCUAUGACCCCUGACCCCAGCCCACUGACCUUCCUUCCACCUCACUCUACUAGCGCAUCCAACCGCCACCAGCAAACAUCAGCAGUUCACUGCCUGUCGGGAUCUUGGACCCCAGCAGUGAUUCUCAGGAUGUGGCCCAUGACAUGGGGGCCGGAGAUGCUCAGUGGCCCGUAGAUCAGAACUGGUUCCCAUGGUGAUAAAAUGCCGCUGGCUUCCUCGCACACUGACGUUUGCGAGGACGGUGCAGAGCCGCGGGGGUGGGACUGAGCGCACGCCUGAGCAGCGCCAAGGUGGUGGCGUCAAGUUGCGCGAGUCCAUCCUCACGCACUUGCGGAUAAACAAAAGCUGCAGCUGCACUUUAAUACGUCCUUAAUAAAGCAAAAAAGGACUAAUUUUAUUACACUUCGACCCUCGAAUGCAGACCUUUCUAGUAUUCUGUGUGAGCGAGGGGGACACACAGAGUGCUCGGGCCAGAUGGUGGCCGUGCCGAAGACAGCGCAGCUGAGCCAUGGCUGGACCAGCCCUUUUGUCGGAGAACACUAUUUCCACCUGAAAGAACAACCAACAGACUCGUUAUUGGGGAGUGGGUGUCAGGCAGACACCGUCCUGAAAAUGAACAGGCGAACCUGCUGCUUUAAGGUAAACAGCUGACGGUGUUUGUUGCUGAGGACAAGGUUUGAGCUUUCAAGCAAAAACUAGAGUUUAGAGGUUGGGGUGUUACUGACAAACAUGACUUUUUGGUGUUGCAUAAAGAGAUGUGCCAGCGUCUGGAAGAUCCUCGUGACCCCAUGAACUGACUUUCUCCAAGUGACCAGAGCACGACGUCCCAAAACCUGCACGGGCGGCAGGUCGUCCAAUGAGCAAGGAGAGCACAGCCUUCGAUGCCGCAGCCCAAGAAGUUUGCCAACGCGGCUUCAGAUUCUGCAGAGCAGCUGACCUUUAAAAACCACAUUCACCAGGUUUGUGUGAUGUCAGAGAAGAAUAUGCACAAUUGUCUGAAGAGGCUAAUAAAUCUGCGUGGGGCCAGACUUCUUUCUAUAUUUCAACCAGCACAGUACCUCACAGCGGCCUGAACACAGAAGCGGAGCGGAGAGUCUGUCUGUUAAGCCAGAGGUAGAAGAGACUUGCAAAAAUCACUGAAUGAUAUGUCACUGUCCGGGUGGACCACAGCUAACCCGUCCACCUACUGAAGGGCCUCUUGGUUGCUUCCGAGAUUUGGCAGUUGUGAAUGAAGCUUCCGUAAACAGCCACGUGCAGGUUUGGUGAGGACGUCAAUUUUCAGUUCCUCUGGGUAAACACCCAGGAGUGCGAUGGCUGGGCUGCCUGGUGAGAGGGUUGAGUUUGUAAGGAGAGUGGAGGCUUCGCUCUGAAGGAAACCUGUGAGGCCUCAGAGAAAAGACCCCCAGACGCGAACACCUGGAAUGCCCCCAGGAGCAGGCCCUCGUCUGCGAGUGUGGCUCGCACAGCUGCAGGGGACCCUGACGCAGAAGCCCAGCGGGGACCCCGUCUUAGGAAAGUCCUCGACAUCAAAGAGGGACCGAGACAGAAACAACAACAGAAGCCUGGAGGGCCCAGACACAAUUCAGGAAGCAGAAGAAAACCCAUAAAGAAAACAGAAGCAGGAUUGUGAGGAACCGUCGAAGCAAG